CGUGCGCCACCACCACCCCGAACUUAGUUGGCCUUCUAUUGCUAGGAUGAAAUGCUGAGAGCAAAAGCACCUUGGGGAAGAAAGGGUUUGUUUUACUCCCACUUCCAUCCAACAGUUAAUAAUCUAAAGCACUCAGGGCGGUGUUGUGUGACCAUACUUUUCCUGGGGAGAUGGAACACACGUCUACUCACCUCAGAUAGGGACUCCCCAGCAGACCAAAAUACAGAUACCACCAAAGUCCAUCCAACUUGGUGAACCAUGAGUUUUCCUGGGGUUACUUACAGGAGUAUGGGGGGAGGGAUUACUUAUGGGAGCAGAAAUGACUCAGACAGCUGCAACACCAAGAUUCAUCCCAGCAUGGGUGACAGCUCACAAAAGCUGGGAACCGGGAGCACACUGCGGCAGUCAGCUGGGAGAACAACAGACUGGAGAGUGUCCUUUCCUGGUCCCUCAGUUAGCGUCUGGAAGCCUCUUCCAGGGAGCAAGACUGGUUCUCAGGGUCUUCUUUGCAGUUUGUCUCAGAGGGAUUCUCAGCUUUUAUCGCUUACUCUGGCAGGGACCUAGUGAAUCUGGUCAGUUUCAGGCACUUCCUGAAGAAGCUUUUUUUUGAGUUGUUUACCUUCCUGCCUCUAAGGAAUUUCCCUGCAAAACUGAAGCUAGAAUUCAAAGGCAGGAGAACCUGGAGGCAGGACCUGAAGUUGAGGCCAUAGAGGAGUGCUGCUAACUGGCUUGCUCAGCCUACUUAUGGAACCCAGGCCCAUCAGCCCAGAGCUGGCACCACCCACAGUGGCUGGAUCUUCCCAUUCACAAAUUAAGAAAACGCCCUGAAGGCUUUCUUAUAGAAAAUUUUUUUUAAGAUUUAUUUAUUAUUAUACAUAAGUACAUUGUAGCUGACUUCAGAUGCAUCAGAUCUCAUUAUGGAUGGUUGUGAGCCACCAUGUGGUUGCUGAGAUUUGAACUCAGGACCUUCAGAAGAACAGUCAGUGUUCUUACCCGCUGAGCCAUCUCACCAGCCCAUUGUUUUGUUUUUCAAGACAGGGUUUCUUCAUGUAAUCCCAGCUGUCCCAGGCUGGCCUCUGCCUCCUGGGUGGCACCUUAAAAGUGUGUGCCUUACCACCAGGAUCCAACCACCCACUUUGCUUGUUUUUUCAAGACAGGGUUUCUCUGUGUAGCUCUGGCUAUCCUAGAACUAGCUCUGUAAACCAGGCUGGCCUGGAACUCUGAAAUCUGUCUGUCUCUGCCUCCCGACUGCUGGGAUCAAAGGUGUGUGCCACCAUGGCCUUUCUUCUUUCCUUUCCUUCCUUUGACCAUUUUCAUGUGCCCUCCCUGUAUUUCUCCAAAAUUCAAGGCUUCUAUUUUUUAAAUUGUACGUGCCGUGUGCGUGCAUGUACACACACACACACACACACACACACACACUCCUAAAUACAUAAACACAACCUGACCGGUCUGUAAUAUGUUACUUGCAUGUAUAUAAUUUCAGGGUUGACCAUUGGCAUUGGGAAGCCAAUUUGGGGCUCUUCUUUUGGAAAUACUCCCCCUACCCCCCUCAGUAUUCCUCAGCUGCUGUCUCCUACAUUAAAAAAAAAAUCUUUUUGAGACAGGGUUUCUGUGUAGCCCUGGCUGUGCUGGGAUUAAAGGUGUGUAUCUUUAUCCUACAUUGUAAUGGAAUGCUCUUCCACUGAGCUGCAGUACCAGCUCUCUUUUUAUUUUGCAUUU
rnacentral:lncRNA from 1 species